CCAGCGCAAUUCUGUGGUCAAUGUCUGGCAGACCUAGAGAUUCCUAGAGAGGUGUGCUCUCAGGCAUAGGCAAGUCCACCUUCAUGUUUGGGUGACAGAUACUUAUACUUCAAUAUAGCUUGCCAGAUGUUGACUCAAGACACAGCACAGCAAAAGAGAUAACUUGGAACUGACUGAAGUGGUUAAAAUGAGUGGACUUGGAGUGCAAAAGGCAAAGGACCAGUUUUUCCAGAUAGGCUGUUAACAGAAGCAUUGUUCUACAAGACCACAACAGUUACUACUCAUGAAGCCUGUGUUGCAGUUGAAUGCUGGGAUUGCAUCUUAAAACUGCAAGCUGAAUUGCUAAGAGAAAAAUCAUCUGAGAAUGAGGAGUUCUUUAAAAAGAUUUUUUCAUACUGGUGAUCAUUGGGGAGGUUCAGGUAAAAUACAGUUUCAGUAAUUAGAAAGUGGCAGCUAACUGAAAGCACAACAGAAGUUGGCACAUUUUGAGGGACUUGGAAAAUCAUGAAAUGUCUUUGGUUUUCACAAUAAUAUGUCUAAAAUCACAUGAACAGCUUUCUAAUCACUGUUUGUGAUGAGCUGACUACAAACCAGCCAAUCAGAAGCCAGGGGCCCUAAGCCAAUCAGGUGCUGGCUUAGGAAUUUGAAGAUUCCGUUUGGCAGUUGAGUUUAGAAUGUUGAGAGAUGAAGAUGGGUUUUUAGAAUCCUGAGGGUUGAGGCGGUGGUUGAGUUGAGGAGACAGUUAGGGGAAGAGUCAGUUCCAGAGGGGAACUUGGUUAUAGUCUAGAGGGACUUUUAACCAGUUAGAGACUGUAAUUAAAAGAAGGAUUAUAGUAAGCCUGCGAGGCAAUAGUGUAGUGUUUAAACUUAGGAAAGUAGGCAGUGUCCUUAACAGCUGGUCAUAGAAAUACUCUGUAGCAAGUUGAACUGUGGCAACAUAGUAACCAGUAAGAAGUAACACGUGCCUGAACUAACAGUUGUUUAAUAUCAAUUAGUUCAAGAAAUAUCUGUUCAAACCUUUUGUUGAAUAAAGUUCAUAUUUUUGUUUUAUC